rnacentral:rRNA from 1 species
GACGAACGCUGGCGGCGUGCCUAAUACAUGCAAGUCGAACGCAGUUGCGAACGGGUGAGUAACGCGUAGGUAACUGCCUCAUAGUGGGGGAUAACUAUUGGAAACGCUAGCUAAUACCGCAUACUUUGAGAUGGAUCUGCGUUGUAUUAGCUAGUUGGUGAGGUAAAGGCUCACCAAGGCGACGAUACAUAGCCGGCCUGAGAGGGGGAACGGGCACACUGGGACCGGUGCACGGGCCAGACUCCCACGGGAGGGAGGAGUAGGGGAUCUUUGGGAAAGGACGGAAGUCUGGACGAACCAAGCCGCGGGAGGUGAGGAAGGUUUCCGGACGUAAAACUCUGUUGUUAGGGGAGCGGUAACUAACCAGAAAGGGACGGCUAACUACGUGCCAGCAGCCGCGGUAAUUC